UAUUUUGUAAAGUUGUUCUAGUUUUGUAACUAAAAUGGUUUGGCAGUGAGCGAUUCUUAUUAGGGGAAUAUGCAUAGUGAAGGAUGGUCCACCUAUUAGUUUACUCUUUUUAUGUUGGUGUAUGUCUGGUUUGAUAUUAUUGUUGAAUAAUUUAAGUUUGUGUAGUUUUAGUUAAGCUAAGUCUAUGUGCUGCUUAUUGGAGUUUUUGUGUGUUACAUUAAUAAGGGUGUUAUUGUAAGAUGAUGUGAUUUAGA
rnacentral:rRNA from 1 species